AGUGCCAUUUUGCUGUGGCGCAUUUCUCUGUGGGUGCUACGGCUGUUCCAUUCGGCCCCAGAUGAAAACGUAUGAUCUGGUUGGAACGUUAUUGGAUAUAUAUGAUAAUAGCAUCCUGAAGAUUGAUUCUCUACUUAGUUUGACCAGUUUAUCCGACCUGGAAUAAAUCUUUUGGAAGUUUUCGUGCGAGUUAUCUUGGACCAGCAGUCAGUUUUUAGGCAUGUGAGCUGAAAGUGAUAGCAAAUGCAGCUACUUGGACACUAGUAUUGGACAUUAUGGAACAAAACAACAAUUUAUUGUGGAACUAGGACUCCUUGCACUACACUCUGAUGAAAGAUCAUCAAAGGACAAUGAACCAAAACACACCUCCAGGCUGUGUAAAGGCUAUUUGACCAAGAAGGAGAGUGAUGGAGUGCUGCAUCAGAUGACCUGGCCUCCAAAAUCACCCGACCUCAACCCAAUUGAGAUGGUUUGGGAUGAGUUGGACCAAGGAGUGAAGGAAAAACAGCCAACAAGUGCUCAGCAUAUGUAGGAACUCCUUCAAGAUGGUUAGAAAAGCAUUUCUCAUGAAACUGGUUGAGAGAAUGCCAAGAGUGUGCAAAGCUGUUUAACAUGUGCUAUUUCAUAGUUUUGAUGUAUGCACUACUAUUCAACAAUAUAGAACAUAGUAAAAAUGAAGAAUUACCCUUGAAUGAGUAGGUUGGAACCAACAUCCAGUACCUCCAUGAGGCAGAAAGGCAAGAACCAUUUGUCCGCCAUCUCAGGGACAAGCUGCACUAUUCACAGUUCUGUGUAAUGUUCAAUGUAAUUGCAUUGCUGGACUUGAAACUUAAAGAAUUUGUAUUGUUUAAAAAAUAUGCAUAUGAAAGGACAUGUAUGUGUUAAACAUGUCUUUGAUGUUUAUUUGUUAGUGAUAAUUCAUUUGUGUUUACAUCAUUAAGCCUUGAUGUAUGUGUUAGGAGUGACCAAAGGUGUCUGACUUCAUAGUAAGUACAGCAUCAUAUGACUUUAUUUUUAUUUAACUAGGCAAGUUAAUAAGAACAAAUUAUUAUUUAUAAUGACGGCCUAGGAACAGUGGGUUUAACUGCCUUGACAGAUUUGAACCUUGUCAGCUCGGGGAUUCGAUCUAGCAACCUUUCAGUUACAAAAUGCUUCUGACUUUAAGUAAAGCAUCAUGUGAUGUAGUCUUAAUGGAUGUGCUAUGAAUGACCGAAGAUGUCUCACAUCAAACAAAGUAUUACAGGACACUACAUAGUGUCAAUCAAUAGGUUAUUAACGUUCUGCUGAUUUAUGAAGGUUCUCUCAUGAUCCACAGGUUACUGUAAGGUAUUUAAAUGGGUUAAUGGAC